UCGGUUUGGUGCAUCGAGUACUGUAUCAGCUACAGGCUGCCUACUAGGGCGUAGGUGGGGAAUAUUGCUCAAUGGGGGAGACCCUGAAUKCGASCACMCSCGCGKGGAAGKWUGAAGGUUUCUAGGGAUUGUAAACCUCCUUUUGUUAGAGAAGAUAACUGACGGUAUCUAACGAAUAAGGCACCGGCUAACUSCGUGCCAGCAGCCGCGGUAAUACGGWGKGUGCAAGCGUUACUCGGAAUCACUGGGCGUAAAGAGCGCGUAGGCGGGAUAGUCAGUCAGGUGUGAAAUCCUAUGGCUUAACCAUAGAACUGCAUUUGAAACUACUAUUCUAGAGUGUGGGAGAGGUAGGUGGAAUUCUUGGUGUAGKGGUAARAUCCGUAGAGAUCAAGAGGAAUACUCAUUGCGAAGGCGACCUGCUGGAACAUUACUGACGCUGAUUGCGCGAAAGCGUGGGGAGCAAACAGGAUUAGAUACCCUGGUAGUCCACGCCCUARACGAUGGAUGCUAGUUGUUGGAGGGCUUAGUCUCUCCAGUAAUGCAGCUAACGCAUUAAGCAUCCCGCCUGGGGAGUACGGUCGCAAGAUUAAMACUCAAAGGAAUAGACGSGGACCCGCACAAGCGGKGRAGCAUGUGGUUWAAUUCGAAGAUACACGAAGAACCUWACCUAGGCUUGACAUUGAGAGAAUCCGCUAGAAAUAGUGGAGUGUCUAGCUUGCUAGACCUUGAAAACAGGUGCUGCACGGCUGUCGUCAGCUCGUGUCGUGAGAKGUUGSGUUAAGUCCCGCAACGAGCGCAACCMCCUUUCUUAGUUGCUAACAGGUCAUGCUGAGAACUCUAAGGAUACUGCCUCCGUAAGGAGGARGAARGUKGGGACGACGUCAAGUCAUCAUGGCCCUUACGCCUAGGGCUACACACGUGCUACAAUGGGGCGCACAAAGAGAAGCAAUACUGCGAAGUGGAGCCAAUCUUCAAAACGCCUCUCAGUUCGGAUUGUAGGCUGCAACUCGCCUGCAUGAAGCUGGAAUCGCUAGWAAUCGCAAAUCAKCCAUGUKGCGGUGAAUACGUUCYCGGGUCUCGUACUCCCAGCAUGUCGCACCUGGUGAUGUGUGUCUCCAGCAACAGGAUCCAGUAUAAGAUGCGAAUCGA
rnacentral:rRNA from 1 species